rnacentral:rRNA from 1 species
ACGAAGGGUGCAAGCGUUACUCGGAAUUACUGGGCGUAAAGGGUGCGUAGGUGGUCUGAUAAGUCAGAUGUGAAAUCCCCGGGCUUAACCUGGGAAUUGCAUUUGAUACUGUCAGACUAGAGUGUGAUAGAGGUAAGCGGAAUUCCCGGUGUAGCGGUGAAAUGCGUAGAUAUCGGGAGGAACAUCAGUGGCGAAGGCGGCUUACUGGAUCAACACUGACACUGAGGCACGAAAGCGUGGGUAGCAAACAGGA